AUUGAACGCUGGCGGCAUGCCUUACACAUGCAAAUCGAACGGUAACGGGCCUUCGGGUGCCGACGAGUGGCGAACGGGUGAGUAAUACAUCGGAACGUGCCCGAUCGUGGGGGAUAACGAGGCGAAAGCUUUGCUAAUACCGCAUACGAUCUACGGAUGAAAGCAGGGGACCGCAAGGCCUUGCGCGGACGGAGCGGCCGAUGGCAGAUUAGGUAGUUGGUGGGAUAAAAGCUUACCAAGCCGACGAUCUGUAGCUGGUCUGAGAGGAUGAUCAGCCACACUGGGACUGAGACACGGCCCAGACUCCUACGGGAGGCAGCAGUGGGGAAUUUUGGACAAUGGGCGCAAGCCUGAUCCAGCCAUGCCGCGUGCAGGAUGAAGGCCUUCGGGUUGGAAACUGAUUUUGUACGGAACGAAAAGCCUUCUUUUAAUACAGGAGGGUCAUGACGGUACCGUAAGAAUAAGCACCGGCUAACUACGUG
rnacentral:rRNA from 1 species